GCGGUCGUGGCCGAGAGGCAGAGGCCCCUGAGCGCCACUCAGGUGUACGCGGGUUCGAAUCCCGCCGACCGCU
rnacentral:tRNA from 1 species